rnacentral:tRNA from 1 species
GCGAAGGUGGCGAAAUUGGUAGACGCACCAGGUUUAGGUCCUGGCGCCGCAAGGCGUGUGGGUUCGAGUCCCUUCCUUCGCA